rnacentral:lncRNA from 1 species
ACUAAACUCAGACGGUUCUUUGGUGUGAAAGUCACCUGCUGAGGUAUUGACGUACUGGAGAUCAGGAGCAGCGGAUUGAACCGCUGCCAAACUCGCAUCCUCUAAUCUCAGAGGCUGAGAGAGACGAGCCAUAUCUCGCCUGGAGAAGUAGCAUUGUUAAAGCCUCAGAAGAAUUAUCCCGCAUUCACAGUGGUCCAUUCGGCAGGCCUGGGAAUUCACGUAUCGUUUUUAAUACCCAGAAUCUUCAGAUGUAUCUGGGUUUGUGUUGCACUAAUCCUGGAGUAAGACAGAUUCAUGUUUUAUGGAUGUGAGAUUCAGCGAGAGAAACCAGAGGACGGUCUGUGGAGAAUCCAGUGUUCAUGCAUCUCAAACUUUAAGGCUUUCUCCAGACGAAAACCUGCUGUGCAUAGAGUCGGAGGAAACAUUUAAAGCAACAGUCCACCUAAAUAAGACAAUUCUGACUCACCCUCCUGUCAGAGCCUCGGCACAAGUUCACUGUGAUUGCAUGGAAAAAAGCAACUGGUACAAAACUGAAGAAAGAUACAGGUUUGGAACAAAAUGACUGUGAGGAAAUCAUAUUUUUGGUGAACUAUCCCUUUAAAUUUCUUAUGCAAGUAAACCUGGCCUCAUUUGUAAGAUGUUUUUCCAUUUAUGACUGUUAGCUGUUGUUUUGGUGUUUUUAUUGAACAGCUCUCGCUCUGAAGUAAGAAACGCUUGCAGAUAUAGAACAGAACAGUUUCACUCCAAGAGCAGAUGCUUUCCUGAGGCCGACUGAAUGUAUAACAAGCAUCCAGACACAACUGCUCAUGCAUAAUGUCCCAUUCGAGUUCAGAAAUGUGUGAUAUGCUGAAAUAUAAGGAUAACAGGAGAGUCAUGGGCUUUAAUGAGUAUUUUGGGUUAUCUGCAAAUUCUCUGACAUUCUGUCAAUUACCGCUGAAAAUAAGGGUGUUUACAUGACAACAAUGCAUUGAAAACAGAAAAGCUUUUCCUUUAUGUUUUUAAAAAGUUUCGUUGUCAAAACGAUCCUAGGUCACACCGUGAAAACAAUUAAAAACACUGUUUUAUGCAUGCCAGGCCAGUGGUUGGCAAUGUCAUUUUGUAAAUAAAAUGCUACGCAUCUGCACACAUACCUAUAGACUAAACAUGCAAUACGCAUGCGUUUUCACAAAUUGACAUUUUUGUAGUUUACACAGAGAUGACAAAAGUAUCAAAACUUUUCAAAAGUUCGCUUUUUUAAGGCUGCCAAAAUGCAGUUGCUGUGUAAAUUAAUGGCCAAAACGUAUUUUUAAAAAAUCCAGUUUUUAGUUGAAAAUGGUAAAAGGGAACAAUUUCAGAACAAGGUUCUCUCAAAGUUAUGAACAAACAUUCCUCCAGUAACGUUAUUAGAAUGUUUGCUCAAAAUGAUCUGGCCUUUAAUAUUGUUCUCAAAACGCUGGAGCAUGGAGUGCUUUUCUGAAGCAUUUGGCGAGAACCAAGAAAACUUUUUUUAAAACAUUUAAAAAACUGGACAUUCUCAACAUUCAGGGAACAUUUAGAAAUGACGUUUUUAUACCUUAAAGUUAUUCCGAACCUCUUCGAGUUUCUUUCUUUCUCAACACAGUUGUUGAAACAGUUUCUGGUCCCCAUUGACUGCCAUAGUAUUAAUUUUUAAUUUUUUCCAUACUGUAGAAGUCAAUGGUUACCAACAACCAUACCCGUAUUCUUCAAAAUAUUAUUAUUAUUAUUAUUUUAACUGAAGAAAGAAAUUCAUUCAACAUUG